rnacentral:rRNA from 1 species
GAGUUUGAUCGUGGCUCAGAUUGAACGCUGGCGGCAGGCCUAACACAUGCAAGUCGAGCGGAUGAAGGGAGCUUGCUCCUGGAUUCAGCGGCGGACGGGUGAGUAAUGCCUAGGAAUCUGCCUGGUAGUGGGGAGUAACGUCCGGAACGGGCGCUAAUACCGCAUACGUCCUGAGGGAGAAAGUGGGGGAGUCUUCGGACCUCACGCUAUCAGACGAGCCUAGGUCGGAUUAGCUAGUUGGUGGGGUAAAGGCCUACCAAGGCGACGAUCCGUAACUGGUCUGAGAGGAUGAUCAGUCACACUGGAACUGAGACACGGUCCAGACUCCUACGGGA